rnacentral:rRNA from 1 species
GACGAACGCUGGCGGCGUGCUUAACACAUGCAAGUCGAACGGAAAGGCCCUGCUUUUGUGGGGUGCUCGAGUGGCGAACGGGUGAGUAACACGUGAGUAACCUGCCCUUGACUUUGGGAUAACUUCAGGAAACUGGGGCUAAUACCAGAUAGGAGCUCCUGCUGCAUGGUGGGGGUUGGAAAGUUUCGGCGGUUGGGGAUGGACUCGCGGCUUAUCAGCUUGUUGGUGAGGUAGUGGCUUACCAAGGCUUUGACGGGUAGCCGGCCUGAGAGGGUGACCGGCCACAUUGGGACUGAGAUACGGCCCAGACUCCUACGGGAGGCAGCAGUGGGGAAUAUUGCACAAUGGGCGGAAGCCUGAUGCAGCAACGCCGCGUGCGGGAUGACGGCCUUCGGGUUGUAAACCGCUUUCGCCUGUGACGAAGCGUGAGUGACGGUAAUGGGUAAAGAAGCACCGGCUAACUACGUG